UGGGGCCCGGGAAUCCUGGGAGAGAACAGGGAUCACAGUGCUGGCCUGAGAGGCUGUCCUGGGAAGGUGGCAUCCCCAGCCGAGGUGAGGGUACCUCCACGGAACUUAGGCUCCACUCAGACAGGGUCUGCGGAGCUCCUGCCUCAGCGAAGCGGCGGUGGGACAGGCUCCCAGGGGCGUGGAUGCAGAGCGAUCAGUGAUUGGCUGUAACCAAGUGAAGAAGCUGCGUCGUGAUUGGCUCCGGACUAGACUGGCGGAGCAUUUGAAAGGCUCUGAGCCCAGGAAUCCUCUGACCGAGAGAAAUGCCCGGAAGACCUCGGCUCUAGAGGGUCCCAGGAUUGUGAGCGCGAAGGUCUUCGAGCAGGCCUCCCCGCGGCGGGAUCUGCAGUCUGGUCGCCAGCCCUGGGGGAGGACGUACCCGGAAGACGUACCCACCCACCCUGGCGAACCCAAGCCGAGGAAGAAGCCAGAUCUAUAUAAACCGUGUUCACCACCCAGAUGGGACUGACUGCUUGGCAAAGAAGUCCCCGAUCAGUCCACUAGUGAACUAAAUCUGCUUCCAACUUCCAGGGUGUGUGCUCAAUUCUUCUGGGCCUGACUGUUAUACAACCUAGAGUACAACACUGUGAGUUAUAUUUGCUACAAUAAAAUGAAUCUGGCACUGGUCACUGUGGAAAGGCCUUUCCCCAUAGCGGACCUGCUGGUAGCUGGCCAGGAGGAAAGGGAAGUAAACUGCAGCCACCAUCUGGGCAAGAGUGGUCUGCAGGGUGCACUGUCCUUGAGCCAAGGCUUGAUGGGUCCCUGGGUGGGGGUCCAGCAGAACUCUGAGUAGGCACCUUUGGCAGGAUUGGAGCCAGCUGGCAUGCUGGCUGGCAGCCACUCCUUGAGAGACAUUUCAUUUUCCAUCUCUUUUUUUGUUUUGGUCUCUUCUUCAACUCUUCUUUCCCAUUUCCAUCCUUGGAUCCUGAGACAAGAAGAAAGAACUCAAAACUUAGAGGCAUGUUCUAGACCUUGUCCUGCCCUAAAAGUUAGCAUAGAGUAAAAGCUGAUUUCCAGGGCGGGUGGUGACACAUGCUGGUUAAUCCCAGCACUUGGGAGGCUGAGGCUGGAGGAUUGCGGUGAGUUUGAGGCCAGCCUGGGCUACACUGAGUUCAAGGCCAGGCUUGCCUACAUAGUGAGACUGUCUCAAAACAAAAGGAAAUUCCAUUGUCUGCUGGUUAACACAAGGAAGGCUUUGAAUACUAAGAGGUAAUGAUGCAGAGUCAACAAUAUUGAACACCUGUGCCAGGCAGUGAUGGUCCCACACCCCAUGAAGUUUACAAUCCCAAACCUGUUUAUGAUCUUUGCAAAACAUGCAUUAAAUGACCUUCCUUGGUGCCACUGGAGGUCAUCACCAAGAUGUCUACAAUUGGACUCACACUAGGAUCUAUGGAAGACCUGGGAACAAAUUUGUAAUGAUGGCUGCAGAAAAAACCUUUUGCCUUCGUUUUAUGAUCUGUUGAGGCAUUCUCUACAACACUGUGAACACAUAAUAUCAAGAACAGGCAAAGUGGAGUAUUUGUUAUCCCAGCACUCGAGAGGCUGCGGCAGGAGGGUUACUAUGAGUUCAAGGCCAGCUUGAACUACAUAGGAAGACUCCUGGCUAUUGUGGCUUUUCCUCAGGAUAGCCCGCCCUGCUUUCUCCAGGGUGUCCUUUUAUCUUACUUUUGCCUCUUUUACUCCCCAAACUCGCUCAGCAGAGCUAAGUUUCUCCCCUACUCUUCACUUUCUCAAACUUGGCCACUGCUUUAAAAAAAAAUCUCUAUUAAUAGUCUUCGUUUUAUUACACAGCGGAGAUCAAAUUAAAUCUCUUUUCCCUAUCCCUUGACCAAAAAUAAGAGAAUCUUGCCAGUGAAGUGCACAGAGCGGCACCCGGACAUUGGGGCAGCGUAGGCUGAGGACCGAGUCGGAGGCGGGACUGGUGUUAGAAUGAGGCGCCUAGUCUUUCCUUGCCUCUGCUAACAGCUCCUCGGCUUCCGGGCUCGUGCCUCCGCCUCUCUUCCACCCAGGACAUAAAAGCGGGUUUGGGGCCGGUAAGUCCUGCAAAGGAGAAACCCUGAGCUCGGCGGAGAACACAGGAGGGCAGGAUGAGGUGGCUUCCUCAUCCCCGUUUCCCGCGCGCUAGCCUCAGGAACAUUGGUGCCCCUUCCCACGUUACUGGGGGCGCCUGGCGCGUCCUGUCCGGUACGGGGCUCUCCGCGCCGGCCGCGACACCCCGACUCCUCCGGGGAGAAGCAUAUGGCCACGUCCGCGAGGGUCCCGGUCCCUGGCGCGCCUCCCAGGGUAUAUGCGCCACGGGAAACCCUCUCAAACGCUGGCUAAUACAGGCUUCCGGGACACGUGGGAAUGCUACAGCUUUACGGUUUCCUCGGGGAAACCCAUCAGGGCCCACAGCGCGGGCCUUAACCGAGAUGACACGUCUGACGUCAUCACGCCUUGCCCUUCUCCUUCUGCCCUUCAGCACCUGGGAACCCGAAAGGAAGGGUGGGCCGGGCUGCGAGCCCACGGACGGGAGCCGUGUGUUGAUUGGACAGCGGAGGGAGGCCCGGGAAGAAGAACGGCCGUGGUUGGUGUUUCUGGAGCGGCCUGUUUGAAAGGCUAAGGGUGAAGAAACGACAAGUGUGGAAGUGGCCGGAGCUGAGGGGACACUAGAAUGCUCCCGAGUCGCUUUUCCCGGGCAGCAACUUAUCAGACAGGUUCUGGCAGGUUGACGCUACUGCUAUUUAUAUGAGACUUCUUAGGGACAGGUCCAGGUGCUCGGGGCUUUGAGCGUUUCACUCUUUAGCCCAGGCUGGCCUUGAAUUUGUGACCAUCUUCCUUCC